rnacentral:rRNA from 1 species
GUCCACGCCGUAAACGAUGUCUACUAGCCGUUGGGACUCUUGAAGUCUUAGUGGCGCAGCUAACGCACUAAGUAGACCGCCUGGGGAGUACGGCCGCAAGGUUAAAACUCAAAUGAAUUGACGGGGGCCCGCACAAGCGGUGGAGCAUGUGGUUUAAUUCGACGCAACGCGAAGAACCUUACCUGGCCUUGGCAUGCAGAGAACUUUCCAGAGAUGGAUUGGUGCCUUCGGGAACUCUGACAC